AUUGAACGCUGGCGGCAUGCUUUACACAUGCAAGUCGAACGGUAACAUGCCUUUUGUUGCUGUCGUGUGGCGAACGGUGGAGUAAUGCAUCUGAACGUACCCAGAGGUGGGGUUUAACGCAUCUAAAGCUGUGCUAAUACCGCAUGUGAUCUGAUUAUGAAAGCGGGGGACCGAGCAGCAAUGUUUGGCCUCUCGCCUGUGGAGCGGCCGAUGUCGGAUUAGCUAGUUGGUGGGGUAAACGCCUACCAAGGCGACGAUCCGUAGCUGGUCUGAGUGGACGACCAGCCAGACUGGGACUGAGACACGGCAGAGACUCGUACGGGAGGCGGCAAUGGGGAAUUUUGGGCAAUGGGCGCCAGCCUGAUCCAGCAAUGCGGCGUGCGGGAAGAAGGCCUUCGGGUUGUAAGCCGCUUUUGGCAGGAACGAAACGGUGUCCGCUAAUACCGGGCGCUAAUGAAGGUACCUGCAGAAUGAGCACCGGCUAACUACGUG
rnacentral:rRNA from 1 species